UACGUAGGGUGCGAGCGUUAAUCGGAAUUACUGGGCGUAAAGCGUGCGCAGGUGGUCAUGCAAGACAGAUGUGAAAUCCCCGGGCUUAACCUGGGAACUGCAUUUGUGACUGCACGGCUAGAGUGCGGCAGAGGGGAUGGAAUUCCGCGUGUAGCAGUGAAAUGCGUAGAUAUGCGGAGGAACACCGAGGCGAAGGCAAUCCCCUGGGCCUCGCGACUGACGCUCAUGCACGAAAGCGUGGGGAGCAAACAGG
rnacentral:rRNA from 1 species